rnacentral:rRNA from 1 species
UAGCUUGCUAAAUUAACUUAGUGGCGGACUGGUGAGUAACGCGUGAGUAAUCUGCCUAUUACAGGGGGAUAACAGUUGGAAACGACUGCUAAUACCGCAUAAGACCACGGGAAGGCAUCUUCAAGGGGUCAAAGGGAUACUGGUAAUAGAUGAGCUUGCGUAUCAUUAGCUAGAUGGUGAGGGUAAAGGCCCACCAUGGCGACGAUGAUUAGCCGAUCUGAGAGGAUGACCGGCCACACUGGAACUGAGAUACGGUCCAGACUCCUACGGGAGGCAGCAGUUAGGAAUAUUGGGCAAUGGAGGAAACUCUGACCCAGCAACGCCGCGUGAAGGAAGAAGGUUUUCGGAUUGUAAACUUCUGAUCUUGGGGAAAAAGAAAGUGAUGGUACCCAAGGAGAAAGCCACGGCUAACUACGUGCCAGCAGCCGCGGUAAUACGUAGGUGGCGAGCGUUGUCCGGAAUGACUGGGCGUAAAGGGAGCGUAGGUUGUUGUUUAAGUUAAAUGUGAAAGCCCGCGGCUCAACUGCGGAACUGCAUUUAAUACUGGACAACUAGAGUGCAGGAGGGGUAAGCGGAAUUCCUAGUGUAGCGGUGGAAUGCGUAGAUAUUAGGAAGAACACCAGAGGCGAAGGCGGCUUACUGGACUGUAACUGACACUGAGGCUCGAAAGCGUGGGGAGCAAACAGGAUUAGAUACCCUGGUAGUCCACGCCCUAAACGAUGGAUACUAAAUGUGGGAGGUAUCGACUCCUUCCGUAUUGAAGCAAACGCGAUAAGUAUCCCGCCUG